rnacentral:lncRNA from 1 species
CCCUCAUUUCCUGUGUUGGGGUCACUUCAUUUUUCCUGUCUUGGUUUCCAUAAGAGGCAGUGGACCAGAUGGAGGAGAACUGAAGGAUGAUCUAUCAACUCUCCCUGCAACAUUUGGAGGAUUUUCACUUCCUUUUAAUCAGGAGCAGGCUGUUCUCAGAGGAUCACCUUGCCUCCCACUGCCCUACUUGCUCCCAAAGCAGACAGCGAGAAUUUGAUUUUACUAUCAGAGCUAGGACUGCGGGAAAAGGGCAGCAGGUCGGAAAAAGCUUCCUCCCAUGGCCAGAGGCAGGUGUGAUGACAGCUUCCAGGCUCACUUCUUCCCAGUUUCAUCAGCAGAGUCAAUGGAGUGCCUCUGUACCAACUCCAGACAGGACUCUUAUUGGCUUAAGUUCAUCACGAGUGGAUCUCUCAGGCCAAUCACAGGUGCGGCAUGAUGAUUGGUCCAGCUGGGUCA